rnacentral:lncRNA from 1 species
UUAUCUAAAGUAAGUUGCUAAUAGUCAAACGAUUGACUCUUGGUAUAUAGAAAGAGCAUCCUAUGGAUAUAGGAUGAAGUCAAGGACCAACAGUCAAAGUCAAGAGGAUAAAGUAUGAACUAGAAAAUAUCCAUAUACAAUAUAAGAGUAAUUAGUGUUUGGCAUAAGAGACCUUUGUGGUUAGUAAGAUGCCAAAGGAUCCAAGGACCAUAGGAUACCGUCGAGGUACGUUAGAUACCAAAGGAUCCUAGGACUAAGGAUUAUGUGUGUAAAAGUCAAUGAGUGGAAGUUGUCUUGAAGGGCAGCAACCACAACCUAUAAGUAUUGGGUGUUGGAAGUAUGAGACAUCUUACUCCAUACU